UUGUUUUUUGGAAAAGUAAGGAGUUGGAAGUUCUAGACUUAUCUGAAUUUCGUAAUCAUUCAUUGUAUGUUGGUUGGAACAAAAAGGGUUCAUUGUCGACUUUGGUCAACAGCUGAGAGAGUUUACCUCGACCACAUAGUAAACCCUCUGUACCACUCAGCAAACCACAACAAAACCUCCCAACAACACCACACAGCUUGAGCCAACAACUUACAACAGGUGAUCACUGGGGGGGGGGGCGAAUAAGCAAACAGUGUGAUUAAAAUUAUUUGGGGGAGGGGUCAAAACAAUUAUUGGUGGUAAAUAAAAAAAUCUUUGGUUGGGGGGGAUUUGUAUACUGUAUUUGAGGUAUUCAGGGGGUGGUAUAAAAGCGGGGUAUUCAGAGUGGAUGUACUAAAUUUGGGGUAUUCAGGGGGUCUUUGAGCUUGCAGUGGGGAUUGGACAAAUACUUACUUUGAAAUGCAAAUACCUUGACUGGCCCACACAGGUGGCCUCUGCCUCAAGGCGGCCUCGGGCGCCUCAAGGCCGCCUUCAGGCCUCAGACUCACAAAGUGUGUGGAACCGAUACUUACAUCACAUUCAACAGUUUCUCAUCACAAUGAUACCUCUACCACAACUGGUCGACAAAAAAAAAAUUCCCCAAAACCCUAUCAUCCAAAAACCUUGGAGCAUUCAAUCCUCCAUAUUCAUGAUAAUGCAGCAACAUCUGAACGUCCAAACUGUAGAAAUUCCUCUCAGAGAACAACAAAAGCAAGUCAAGAAUGAACCGAUUUGUUCCAACCAAUAUACAAAAGUUACUCUACCAUAAAAAAUCCAGUUCCAUCUGUUUAAAAGCAAUGUAUUUGUCUGGUACAAUGACUGUACCAGAAAUUCAUCUGAACCUCCCUCAAAUUUAUGAAAUAUCCUCUGCUUUGGCCAUCAAAAGAUCAACUGAUUUUUUGAAAAAUAUAUUUUGGCCUAUCAGACUUAUCAGUCAACUAGGCUGAAAUAAGGAAACCUGUCCAGGAAAUGCUCAAUAGUAAUUCAACUAUUCUUGGAUGAAAGAAGUUUUGGUUCCUGAAUCAUGCAUGGUUGGUUAUAUGAUUACUGUUUACUGUAAAAGACUGAAAAUAUUCCUAAUAAUUGAACCCUACAGAUCUGUUUUUCUUUUUGGAGGACUUGGUAUUAAUUAAACUAUUCAAAAUGACAAAUUUCAGUUGAACUAGAUAGUAAAUAGAAAUUGUGGGCUCUUGAACAAUCUUGACAAAUAUGAAGCUAUGAAACUUAUUUACUGUGAAAAAACAAAAUUUCCCCAAAUAGUCGAAUAAUUUAAACAGUUUUAGGAUAAUAUGGUAAAAUGAUAUUGAGAGGGUAUUAAGGUCAAGUCAAGGUCGAGUCGUGGCCAAGUCAGAGUCAGUCAGUGGUCAAGGUGGAAGUCAAGAUUGAACCAGAGCCUCAAUUUUCUACUUGAAACAUUGCAAUUAUCUGUCUUGGAGUUUGCAGACUUGAAACUGCAAUUAUCUGAAGGUAGAGUGCUUUCAUUAUUCUAUUGAUUUAUGGGAUUGGCCAAUGCUAAAUAUCUGGACUAAUUUACAGAAAUAUACAUGAAGAUAAUUAAAUUUUAUUAUUGUAAGCGAUAUUCUACUUUAACUUUUAAGCAGAUAUUAAUUUUUGUUCAGUUUAAUUUUAAUUUAGAUUUUAAUUGAAUGUAUUUAUUUAUACAGUCAAGUAUUAUUUAUUGUCAAACAACAAACAGAUGUGUUUAUUAUGUUGUUAGUAUGCAUUUUCAGUAUUUUGUUAAAAUUGAUUUGAAUUAGAGGUAGGAAAUGAUAUUGAAAUACAUAUUAUUCUUAAUUGUAAUUAUCUACUUUAUGAAGUAUAGGGAACUAUGUAUGUUGAAGAUAGAUAAUUAUUAUAUUAUUGGAAAUUUAAUUUGCUUAUUUGAGGGUUUGUUUUUUAGAGGAUUAUCGCCCGGUUGCACAAAGUCUGAUAGCUUUUAAUCCCGAUUAAAUUCCAUGAGAACUAAUAAUCAAAGAAGCCUUAUUCUCAGAAAUGCCUAUGUAUUGAAAAUUUUGGGGUCUAAUAAUUAUUGCUUUCUAUUUAUUUAUUUAUUUAUUUAUUACUGUUAUUACACCAUCAAUUUAAAUUGGGCGAGGACAUGUUAGGCCUUUCAGUGAUAUGUUCUAUGUUUGUAAAUAGAGUUGGAGAUCGCUAAAAAGUAAUUCUAUUUUAUGAACAAAUAGAAAAUAACAAUGUUAUCAUGAAUUUAUAAAAAUUCAGCUGGAAAUUAAUUAUUUAAACAAUGAUCGAGUGAGGUUUGCAGUCUCCCUGUCUGUCCAUCAAGCAUGAUCAAUCAAUCAAUUCUAAAUUUAAUUUGGAAAUUAAGAAAAUGUAAUCACAAAUCUUGUAAUAUAACUUUUUUUUACAAUAAUAGAUUUGAAAUUGGUGAACUAGCAUAACAAUUUUAUUAUUGGAAUUAAUAGCUACAUAUUAUGAUAUUCAGUUGAAAUUUGAUAAUGAUACUCGAUUGAUAAUAAUUUAUUAUUGUAGGCCUAAAAUCAUCAUCAUUAUCAUCAUCAUAGAAAUGAAUGAAUGAAUAGUGGAUAAAUUUGUGAUAAUAGGCUAUAUAUAUAGUGACUGUUAAGUGAGCGAAGUGAAUUAAUUUUGAAUAUGGAUUGAAUUUUUAUUCUUAAUAAGCAAUGAAAAUGAAAUGAAUUGAUCUUUGUCACUCACCCUACAGACACUGUACCCUCCUCUCCAGAGUACUCCUUACAAAUCACUUUUCCUUACAUUGUUUCUAAUGUCCUUCACUCAAAUAUAUCCUGCCUCUCCAGAGCCUCCUCCACUGUAGCAUCUAUUUCCGCCGCCAGCCUCCUUGGGAUUUUGCAGGCCUUUAAAUUUUCCUUGUUUUUUCGGUGCUGAAAACAAAAAUCAAACCUUGAAUGAUUAUUUAUUUUAACAAUCAUUAUCAUACAUUGUAUUGUCUUCAUAAAAAUUUUUGUUUUAUUCAUUCAUUCAAGAAGAGAAUUGCUCCAAUCUCAUUAAGCAUGAUUCGCUGAAUCGACUGUAUUGUAGACUAUAAAUUGUUAAACCCUAGCAGAUCGCAUUAGGUGACGCCGGCGAUUCCAACCAUAUUCAAUCAAAGCUUGAGCAUUUUCCCUCUGCCGUCACCAUAAUGUGGUUUGCAACAGUGUGCACAAUGUUUGAUAUAGAAGUAUUUAUUGAAAGCAUAUAUUUGUAUCUCUAUCUCGUAGCAUUAUCAGAGAAAUCAAUGUUGCUGUAUGGAGUCAAUUGCUAAAGAUUAUGGAUUAGGGCAGCAGCAAAUUAAAAAAAAACCAAGUGGCACUUCUUGCUGCUGGGUUAUCCAUUGUGAGAUUCAGGUUAUAGAGUCAGUAUCUUAUAAAUCUCUUAUAUAGAUAGCUCUAUCUAUUUCCAACUCCACACAUUUGCCGAAUUGUUACUAGACUAUGCACAAAUAUAAACUACCAAAAUAUUUCAUUCCAAUAAUGAUAAUUUAUCAUCAAAUUAUGGAAAAAUAUUUCUCCAUGAUGUAUAGAAUAUAUUUAAGAUAUGUUUUAUAAUUAUUAGAAAGAAUCAUUAAUCAAUAUCAUAUCAGAUUUACAAGGAAUACUUGAAUCAGAGCUAUCCACUGUAGUGGUGGAAAGAAAAAGUGGCAACAAUGACUUCCUAUCAUUCCCACUGUCUUUAUAACAUGAAUCUCACUAUAGUUCCAUUCGAAUCGACACAUUCAAUUACAUUUUAAUUGUAUAUAAUAAUUAAUAUUCAUAUAAUGAUUCAAUAUUUUGUAUUAUACAGAACAUUCCUAAAGUCACACACAUUCAAAUAAACAUAUCUGUAAAAAGUGGGGUUUUAUAUUCAUUGUGUGGCUACUGGAAGAUAGCAUCACUGUUAAUGAAUGAAAAACAUGAAUGUGUACAGAUUAUAACAUGUAUACAUUAUUGUUUUGUGUACGAUAAUGUAAAAGCAUACCCUUUUUCCAAUAGCAAGGAAUGUUCCUUCUUGAACAGUAUUUUACCAGUAUUCAAUGCCCCCCAAAUUUUGAUCCAGUGGGGUUAAUUUUCAGUUUAUUCAGAGUAUAAAGCCUACUUUUAAAAACAUCCAAGAUAACCCCAUUUGGAAAAAUGUAGAGGCAUUUGAAUAGGUUUCCUGUGAAAGACAGUUCGAAAAGGAACACUCCUUGCUCUUGGCAAAACCACAUGCUCACAUUAACAUACUCAACAAAAAUGAUAAUGAAAAUAAAACAAUACUGUAGACCUGUUGUAACCUGCACACAAUAAAUUAUUUUAAAUAUUUUUCUUUUUCAUAUGAAUAGUGAUGCUAUCUUUUGGUAGACACAAGUAAUACAGAGCGGUGCAGAGGAAAUGCAUGUUUUUCGAACAGCCAGUACUCAUCAAUGGGAGGGGUAUUGCCCUGGAACGAAUGUUGGCAGACGGCCCAUACUAUACCGUUUCAGUUGCUAUGGGCAUUGGAAUGUACAACAUCAUGUGUUCGCUGUUAACAAGUUUUUUUUUAGAAACAAUGAAUCUGUAGUCACAGUACAAUAUUUUUCCGUCAAUAUUUUAGAGUUGGGCAUUGAGGUGCAAUGCCUGAUCAAAAUAUUGUACUCUGGUGGGUUGCAGCGUUUAGGAGUACUAGUUCUCUGAUGAAAAAGAAACCACCUGGUCUUCCCCAUUCCCUGGAAAAUGUAGAGUCAGAACGGCAGUUGUUACUAGUCCUAGAUGAUUGAGACGAGGAUAUGGUAUCAGGACUUGAUGACACUGACUCCGUCUACAUUUUCAGGAGUAUGAACUGAACAGGGAAGACCAGGUGGUUUCUUUUUCAUCAGAGAACUAGUACUCCUGAACGCUGCAACCCAUCGGAGUACAGUAUUUCGAUCAGGCAUUGCACCUUGAGGCCCAACUCUAAAAUAUUAACGCAAAAGCAUCGCACUGUGACUACAGAUUCAUUGUUUCUAAAAAAAAA